rnacentral:rRNA from 1 species
UACGUAGGGGGCAAGCGUUGUCCGGAAUUACUGGGCGUAAAGCGCGUGUAGGCGGGGCGGCAAGUCGGACGUGAAAGCCCCCGGCUCAACCGGGGAGGGCCGUUGGAAACUGUCGCUCUUGAGGGCCGAAGAGGAGAGUGGAAUUCCUGGUGUAGCGGUGAAAUGCGUAGAGAUCAGGAGGAACACCCAUGGCGAAGGCAGCUCUCUGGUCGGCCCCUGACGCUGAGACGCGAAAGCGUGGGGAGCGAACGGG